rnacentral:lncRNA from 1 species
AUGGAUGUAGCAGUUUCAAAAUGUUACAGUAAAGACAUGAAAUAUAAUUUGAACUUAAGAAAACAGCCAAAAGGUGGAACUCAUUUUUACUCUGCCGAGAGUCUUGGUCAAAUUUUAUCAAGACUUUUUCCAGCUUUGGAAAGAAUUGUAUACAAUACGUGUUCAAUAAAUCAAAUUGAGAAUGAAGAUGUUGUGAAAUUUGUCCUGCCUAUAGCCGAGUCGUAUGGAUUCCAACUGGCAAAGUCAUUACCCGAAUGGGCAUGUCUUGGCCUUCAA